CUGACGGCUGACGCUGACUUGAAAGUGUCUUCCAAGUUGAUUGGUGUCGAUCCACAUUUUUAGCCAUUAAAUGUAAUUGGCAAUCUGGUAUAUAACUUCACUUGGCCAAAUGUGAUGACGUGGGUCGAAACUGCUGUCCAUUUUGUCGAAAAGUCGGCCAUUGUUAUUUAGCUGUACGUCUCAUCUCGUGCAGAAACACUUCAGAGCUAGCGAGCUAGUAAAUUGAUUUUCAGGUCGGAAAUGGAGAUCCCUUUGCUCAACUGUUGCAGAAAUUUAGAACACAACAAAGUCUGAGCUUCAUGGCUGUAGUAUCAUUAAUGUGGUUUUGUUGCAGCCAGCUGGUGAAAGGUGUGAUCGAGUGAUGGUUGAGUUGCAGCUUCUGCAUGCAGUUUAUCAAGCUGGUGCUAUCCCAAGUGUAACUGCAGGAAAACUUCUUGAACUGCCAGGUGAAGUCUCACUUCUUUGUUGCAGUCUAAUGUGCGCAUGGAUUUGUUGCAGUCAUCCAGUGAAAGGUGUGAUUAAAUUGAGCUGUUGCAUGCAGUCUUUGGUGCUGAUGUUGUCCUGCAGUGUGGGAGAGUCCCAUGCUUCAAGUCUUCUGGGAUCAGCCAUAUCUGAGUUGACGCUGGAUCAUGCUGCAUUAUGGUUGCCGAAAUGUUGGACAUCUAGUAGAACUGUAAGAAGACUCCUUGAAAUGGUUUAUGUUUACGUAGCAGUGAUGUUGCUGUCCAAUAUGGCAUGUUGUUGCAGCCUAUACUGGUGAAAGAUUUUUUGCUUCGAGUUAUGCUGUUGCUGUUCCUUGGUGCCGGACUGCUGGUGUUGUGCACAAAAGUUACAUCCAGUUUUAAUUGUUAUUUGUGUCUAUGCAGUUAACCGUUUAUGUGUUGAAAAGGAACAGAAAAGUUUCUUGGUGUUGAAUCGCUGGUGUUGUGCUACAUCAGUUACAUCCAGUAUUUUGUUUAAUUGCUAUUUGCGUCUAUGAAGUUAACCGUUUAUAUGUUGAGAAUGAAAAAAAAUAGUAAUACGGGGAAUUUUUACGUUGAACAAAUAAUAAACAUGCCUUCGCGAUUGGGAAACCAGCGAGGAGGAGAUAGGGGGGGGGGGCAGUUGAUUUUCAUUAA
rnacentral:lncRNA from 1 species